UAACCAUUACUGAUACUGACUGAUAUUUAAUAUAAAACUUAAUGCAGUGUGGACUACUGUGUAUUUAUGAGUUAAGAUUAAGAAAAAGAUAACUUGUUGUAACAAGUGACACACAGGUUGUGCUCAUGUGAUUAUCAUUGACAAGUGAAGAAAACUCCACAGAAGACCUUCAUGUAAUUUCACAGGCUGACAGAUAUUCAGCUCAAGAGUCCAGAACAAUGAGCAAAUUAUUUCCGAUGUUUAAGAAGAAGGGGAGGGGGAAAGAGGAGGAAAUGGAAGAUGAUACAAAGAAAAAGAAGAGAGGUAAGGCUGGAAAGGGGAAAGAGGAGAUCAUCAGUUCCUCUCUUCCAUCCCUGUCUCCCUCUUUCUCCAAAUCAGGUAAGAAGAAAAAGAAAGAGAAAGAUGCAAAGCAGAAAGAACUGUCAUUUGGGAAGGAGAAUCUCUUUGUCACAGACAUGGAGGAGCUACACAACAAAGAGUUCUACAUUGAUGAUGAUGGCUCAGUGAAAACAGGGCCCAGUCUAGAGGUUACAAGUUUUGAUGUGUCCUUUGAAGAAGAGGUUAUCGGUAGCCCAAGAGGAAAGGGCAGCGUCAUUGAAGGGGACUUGGAAAUCGAUGUCCAGAUCGACGAGGAGAGAGUGGUCAGCUUAAAUAAGGACGAUAGUGUAUCUGAAGAAAGUGGAAGCAGAUUGGAUUAUGAGGAUGGUGAUAUUUCCAGAAAAAGUUUUGAUGUUGUUGGGGGGUUCUCUGAAGAUGUUUUUGAGGCAAGCACAGACUUGUUCAAGGAUUCUAAUGUACCUGAUGAAGACGAAGCAAGCACAGGUGAGGAAAUACUGGCAAAUGUAAGUGAAUCAUCAGAAAAUACAGACAAUCUUGUAAAUGCUAGUCAUUGUGAGGAACCAAGCCCUGAUAUUAAGCAGGAAGAACAAGAAGAUUCCGGAAUUAGUGUAAAGGAUCUCUCUCCUCCAGAGCUGGACAGUAGCUGUUCAUCAGAGAAGUUAGACUCUAAGAGAUAUGCUGAUAUGAAUGGAAAUCCAGAAGAGGAAGCAACUUGUAGUAACAUUGAAAACAAAGAAUUCCCUGAUAUGGAAAAUACAGAAGGGACUUGUAACGAUACCACUAGUGCUAGUGCUUGUUCUACCACAAAAGAAGAUAAGUCAAUGGUUGUGAUCUCUAGUAAUGAAGAAACUCAGGAAGUAAGUCCGCCUCAAAGGGAAAGUGACACAGAUGAAAAUGGUAACAGUGGGGACACAGUAACACCUGAGGUAGAGGAUGAACACAUUAAGGAUGACCAAAGCUUGCUGAGCAGCCAAGAUAGUGAUGAAGACUUUGAUUCUGCCCAGGAAGAUUGGGAUGAAGCAGACAGUGGAGACAGGAAAGAGAAUAGUUCUGAGGAGCAUAAAUCUGGUUUGCUUGAUGGCAAAGUAGAUGAAGGACAGAGUAACCAAGAAAUUGAAUUGAUUGACCAAGGUAAAUCACCAUCAGCUGAUCUGUUCUUGAAUGAAUCGGUUAAUGUUGCCAUGGUACAGAAGAUUGGGGAGAGUGAAAAUGUUAGGGAUGUACAAAGAGAAAUUAGUAGUGGUUCUUCCCAAUAUGAAGAGGCAUAUUUAAUGCAGGAAAAUGCAGGUGCUGUUAAUAUAAAUACAGUGGUUGAAGCUUGUAACGAUGAUGUUACAGUUGACCUUAAAGGAGUUGAAAGAAAAAAUUCUUUAACAAAGGAGAAGCUUGUUCGAAAAUUGUCCGGAGUAUCAACUACCUCUAGUGAUGCUUUCAAUGAGGAGUUGGAUGAACUCUUGGAUGAAGAACUGGACAGAUUGUCAGAGGAGGAGGAAGGCUUAGAAUCAGAAGACAGUCAGUCCUUGAAGACAUGCCAAUCAUCAUUAGGAGAAGUUCUUGCAAACAGCCAAGAUGCCAGUCUUUCUGAAGAUAUUUGUAAAGCAGGAGAAGAAGACCUUAGAGUUGAGACUGAGUUGCCAGUAGAUUCCCCAGGAGGUGAUGAUACGGCUCCUGAUACACCUAGGAAAAGUAUAGAAGAGAGUGAUAUCAAAACAGAAGUAAUUGACAUUGAUAGCAUUGAUAAAAAGGCAGAGAUCUGUAGCUUGUCACCUGAAAGCAGUACUAGCUUGAAGAACAGCACAAGUUCUCCAGACAUAGCCAAGACCUCACUGCUGAACCCUGAAGAAGGAACAGAAUUAGUGAAGGAUAGUGGCUACUACAGCCUCCCUGUAUCACCUAAGCCUGGAGUAGAUUUGCGUGAGAAUAAGGACAGUGUCAGUGUCGCUAACAAAGGAGAUGAUUCCUUUGUUGAUAGUGAGGAAGAGGGCAUGGUUACCCCUCCUACUGAAACAGCAUUGGUGAAAGAGGACUCUUCAAAUCAAGAGAAUGUUCUGGAUGUUGUGGAUGAUAGACCGCCUCAGGACAGCUCAGCCCAUGAUGAAUCGACUGUUCUCUAUCAGUCUUGUCUUGAGAGCAGUGAGGCUGAAGGUACAGAAAAAAUAGAUGAUAUAACAGAUAGCCUGAAUGAUACACAGGGUGAAACAGAAAUUUCAAAACAUUCCACCAACUCAAGUACAAGUAAAGGCAAAAAUCUUGGGCUUCACAUUCCGAAGGAUGUAACCACAGACUUUAGAGAGGAAACCAGUUCUCCAAGUUUAGGUACACCAACCAAAAAUAGACUGAAAUCUCCAAUUCCAGAAAAUACACCACUGAAGGCAGACAGUGGUUCUCUGACAAGUCCUGAUCCUGUUGGAGACAGGUUCUUGGCAGUAGCUGUGUGCCAAUCACAUGAUGAAGCUGAGGCCCGGCUAGCCCAACGACGAGCGGCACGUGCAGAAGCGAGAGAACUGAGACUACGAGAGCUUGAAAAACAGCAGCAGGACCAAGAAAAUGAAGAGGAAAAGCAAUUCGGAACUCCUGCUUUUGCAGAGGCCGAGGAAGAUGAAGAGGAGGAGGAUGAGGAGGAGGAGGAAUCCCAAGAGCCUUCUCCGAGAGCGGCUGCCCCCACCCGAACGCCUCUCAGCCGCACGGGAGCACUCAGCAGCGCAGGGCAAUUCUCCAGGAGGUCAUCGGAGGACUCCACCACCGAUGACUCCGCACUUCCAGCCAACGUGCGGGAGAUGAGGACUGAAUUGAAAGAGUUAGACGAAAAAUUCCGCAAGGCUAUGAUAACUAAUGCACAGUUAGACAAUGAAAAAGCGACUCUAACAUUUGAAGUAGAACUUAUGAAGGAUAAGUAUACUGAGCUAGAAGAAACACAUACACAGUUAUCGAAAGAACAUAGGAAGAAGUGUACUGAAUAUGAACAGCUUAAGAAAGUAGCAACAAAGUUACAAGAAGAAGUUAAAGCUCUUCGGUCUUUGUUACAAGAAAGAGAUGCGUUAAUACAGGAAUACGGCUUGGUGGUGGUUGGCGAGGAGGAGAACGGGGAGGCAGAUGUUCCGGUCAAGGAGGAGGAUGACGAGUUUGCAGACAUGGAUGACCUCACGCCUAGGAAGAUUGCCGUUAAGAAAGCGCUGCUCUCUCAGGAAGCAGCCGACUUGCUCAGCAAAGGGGCUGCUCAGGAUUCACUAGAUAUUAGGUUAAAGAAGUUUGGUGAAGAGAAGAAGGAACUAGAAGACCAAGUUAGAAGAUUGAAGCUUGAACUUGAGGAAGAAAAGAAUAAGAACAGAAGAAGAAAAGAAAACGGUUUAGACUAUGACAGGCAAAGUGGCAAGGCUGGAUGCUCUCUCGGCUCGAUAUAGGACCCAAUCGGAAGAACUAGAGAAGAGUGAAGAGGAACUAAAAUCGGAGAAACGAAAAUUACAACGGGAACUAAGGGAUGCCCAGAAUAGGUUAGAAGAACUGGAAACCACCAAUAACCAUCUAAUAAAACGGUUUGACAAAUUAAAAAAUGCCCGAUCCACCCUGCUCAAGGACCUGUCCCAAGACCCCGCUUGAGGAGCCAGAUGGACCCACAGCCUUUCCUCCCAAGGACCUCCAAACUCUCCUCCCGCCAAUCUUCAACUUGUAGGCCACGAUACGACACCCGAAACCUGUUGGGGAAGCUUGACGAAGUUCCUGGGUGAAUAGUGCUUUUGGACUAUUCCGUGUGAUACAAUGUUACUAGGAGUGUAGGUGUUGACUGCAUAUUAGAAGAAGAAAAAUAAGAUAACAGUUCUCUCUCUCACUCUUCUCUCCGUUUUUUUCAUUUUAUUUUCAUUAUUAUUAGUGUGAUGGAAAUAUGGUACUACCUAGUAAUGAGGUUAUUUAGGAAAAUAUAAUAAAAGUUAUUUGAGUUGUGUACAUGGAAGUAUUGUGUAAUGCAGCAAUAUGUGAAUGGUUUUAUAAUAUAUCUGCCUUCAGAUUGCUUGUUUGCAGAAAGUUGCCAGUUGUUACAAGUUGAAGGCUUGCUUACUGAGUAUCCCACUGUAACUACUUAAUCAUCACCUCCCUCUCUUUCAACCCCCAUCCCCCUUUUCCUUAUCAAAUUCACUGUGAUUAUGUUAAUAGUUGAUGGGUGGAUACUGUAGACCAUUUUAAAGAAUAUAUAAAACAUAGUAAUAAUAAUAAUAACUGAAAAAAAAUAAAAGGAUGCCUUUGUGCCUCAAGAACCUUUAUAGCUUUUGAAGUUAUUAUGCCUCAGGUGAUGAGUCUGCCUUCUUGGGUGGGUUAGCAGUUGAAGAUACUUCAACCAGGGCUGCUUUUACAUAGCAACAUCUCAGGCUAAAGUGGUCUUUGUUAAAGCAACCUAAACUGAAGCUUUACUGUACUCGAAAACAGGGCUGAAGCUGCCACUGCCUGGCUGGUCGGACACUUGUUUUACACAGUCAACCUUGGGGUCUAUAGAGUGUGUGAUGCCUGGAAGUUUUGUUGAAGUGGAGAGGAUCAUGUGAUCAGUUUUAAGUUACUGUCAUUUGUUUUGGCUCUUUAUUGAUUUUUAAUAUUAAUAUGACUACUACUGUUAGUAUUACUAUUAUUAUCAUUGUUAUUACGAUCAACUUAAAUUGGUUUAAUUUUUGUUCAUAGGGGUUAUUUGGUAAAAAUAACUACAGUUUUCAAGAAUUACUGAUGCCAUUACAAAAUUAUAUAUAUAUAUAUAUUUUUUUUCAUUUUAAGCCUGCCUUACUUCCACCUGAAACAGCAUUAGGUUUGUUCUAGUGUUAGAGUAUUAUUAUUAUUAUUAUUAUUUGUUUUCAUUUGUGUUUUUUUCAACAUUCAUUUUCUUCCUUGUACCUUUGGUGUGCAUCCUCGUAGCCAGUAAUUAUAAUCAUAUUCAUGUUUGCAGAGUGAUGUCCAAAUGGACUUUCUGUUUAUUUUUCUUUCUCUCUCCCUUUUUUUCUGUCCACCAUAAAUAUAUAGAUAUAUUUUAUGCGUGUGGAGUGUUUACUACCGUUUGGAAUUUAAUGUGAUAAUUUUUAGAAAUGUGCCACUGUGCCGUUGUUCCUGUCUGAGCACAUCAUGUCCAUUUUAAAGAACAAUAGAUUAUGGUUGGUUGGUUAGUAUAUUUAUUUAUAUUAUUGUCCAAAAAAAAAAAGAGAAGAAUUUGUAUGUUGUUAUUAUAUCCAUUGUUGUUCUCAUUAGUGAGGGAAAGGAGUAACCAGAAGUUGCUACACAGGUUCAUAGGUCUCCCUCUCUCACAAGUGUUGCACAAAGCAAGUUUACUUUAUGACAAAUGUUAUUUAUUGUUACAUGUGAUUGAAGCUUCUGGCAUUGUUGAGCAUAACAGAGAAGUGGAUCAUUCCUCCCUGCCAUAACAGGAAUGCCCUAAUUGCGAAGGGGCAAGCUAUGAGCAGCCAGUGCUUUGUCCUUCCAAACGUGCUAACCUAUCACAGAUUUAUGCAUGUCCCGUGUGGUGCAGGAGACCACUCAAGUCACUCUACAAGGAAUUUACAAAGAAAGAACAAAUAAAAUGCAGUUGUUUUUUUCAUAUAUAUCCAGGGAAAUAGUAUAUUUUCUCAGUCAUGCAGAGUGAUGAAAUAUCUUCAGUACACAUACCAGCAGAAUUUUCUCAUCAUGGUUACUUAAGUCUUCAAACAGAUACAAAGUCAGAACACUGACCACUGCUUUCACUUCAGGAAAUAUAUAGAUAUAUAUACAUAUAUAUAUAAACACAUCUGCAAGUUUCAUCAGUUGAAGUUGGAGCUAGGAAACUUCAUGAGCAGCAUCUUAGCUCAGUGAUGUUGCAUUAACCCAGUGAUGAAUGCCCACCAUACCAUACCAGGUACACAUGUCAGGGUCAGAUGGCCAGAGCCUCGUGCAGUCCCGUGCAGUCAAGAAACUCAAGUGUGAAUCUUCGGUGUAAAUCACAGCUGAGCCUCACUUACCUCAACCAAGGCUGAUGGUCUUCGAUGACUUCACAGAGGAAUGUGCAUGCCAAAUACUGUUCAGGUGGUGGGGAGCUUCACACUAACCCAGCUCUUAGGGACCACUUGGGCAACAGCUGACACAGAGACCACUUAGGAGCUCUCUCAGGUGUGUUUGUCUACACUUUGACUUCUGGCUUAGUCCGGAACUGAUUGUCAGGUAGUGUUGCAAGAUUGAAGUGGUUCAAAAAGUGGGUUAGCAUUUUUUAAAUAGAUGAAGUAGAUAUAUAUUUGUCCAGGGUCAUAUGAUUAGUUUGGUUUCUCGAUUGUGGAAAAAAGUUUGUAGUACUUACACAUUUGGUGAAAAUUGACCAGAGAAAUUCACGGCAUCACAUAAAUGAUUGCCAGGUAUUUUGAUAGUUGUUUGAAUAAUUUGUAGUUUUAUCUAAUAGUUUGAGCUUUUCAUUUAUCAAAAAAAAAGGAAAAGAAAUGUUUGAUUAGAUAGACGACAGUAUUCAGGAUCAUCCAGUUAAAAGAAUGGUGUAUGGAGAGCAUAUUUGAUCAUAAACUAAAAAGGAAAUGUAAAUAGGAUUGAAUCAGCAUUGGGCCAAUUAGUAUCAUAUUAGAGAAACUCAUAUUUUUUCUAUUGAGAUACCUAUUUUUGGUCUUCCAACCUUUUAUUUCUGAAAGGGUCUGCAUGUGAAGGUUUUGUGUCGAUGUGAAGAAGUUCAAAGUGAAAUGCUUUGUUCACAAGGAACUCUAGACAAAGUCAGUCUCUCUUAUUUGUCAGGCUAGCGUGUGAUCAUUAUCUUGCAUAAAGAAGAGGAGGAAGAUGCUCUUUCUUCCUGCUCUUGAAAGUUUUGCUUUCGUUUGGAAGGCGUUUUGCUUAUGAUGUACUGGUACUUAUUUUCUUACAGGGGUUCUGGCAUGAUCAAUAAUAAGUGCCAGAUAUAUAUAUUUAUUAGUGCUCACAUAACAUGAUUUUAUUUUAUUUUAUUUGCACAGUGUGCCAUGUUAUUGUUUUUAACUGCAUAAUUGAAUAGAGGCACAACAUCAGAAAUAUGUUAAGUGUUAGAGGAAUAUUUAUAUAUACAAAUAUAUAUAAAAAAAAAGUUGACAAUCGUAAGAGGAGAUCAGUUGGAUAUAAUUUAAGAGAAGGAAUUUCAAAGCUCUUGUGUUGCAGACCCUUCUAACAUCAGGCCAAAUUUCCCAUGAGGGAUUCAAGCCUGUUGCCAGUCAUAGCUGUAACUUCAUGCUCAGUGUGCCAAUAGAGGAUUCUGUUGGCCCCAUGCUAGCAGGAGUGCUCAAGGGUAGUGUUAUAAAGGUUGUUUGCAUCAAGCUAUUUUGCUCCUGGAGGAGGAGGCCCAGACGACGAAGUAUGUAGUCAGAUUUGGUAAUUUCUUAGGCAAUGUGAAUGUGAGCAAAGGACAGUUUGUUAGUGUGUGAAUGUGUGAUGAUGUAUGCAUGCAGGCCAGCCGAGAGAGUGAAAAUGUUUUGAUUGUUCAAAGUGACAUUGCCUAGGUAAUUACUGGUACUAUUUUUUAUAUUUCACAGCCUGGUUUUAAAAGUUGCUGUAAUUUUUUACGAAGAGGAGGAAAAUGCAAUAUUAUUUCAUUACUGAGAAACAUUGAAAAAACACAGCCGUUUAGCAUGUAUCUUGCUCAUGAAGGUUGCAUAAUAAUGAAAAAAGUACUGUGUGGGGACAGCUGAUUAUCAUCACCCAAAAUUUACUCCUUUGCAGCAAACAAACCAUGAAUAUCAAAUAAAUUACCCGAAACUACGUAUUUAUUUAUAUCCAUAUUUUUUUCUUUGUAUACAUAUUACGGAUAUUGGCUUCCUCUUGAUUAGUUUAGCUUCAUUCUUCCAUUUGUGAUAACCAACAUUUCUAAUCUUCCAGUUUAUAAUAACCAGUAAUGAGAGCUUAAAGUCCUUAGAUCUGCUUUUUAAACCUUUUCCCAAAGAGGCCAUAUUAUAUAUGAUGUAGUAGGCCCAGUCUUUUAACAAGAAAAAUACAAAAAUAAACAAAAAAAGUGCUGAUAUUGAAGUACCUUUACAUUUUGUAAGCAACCGUUUUAUUUAUUUUAUUUGUUUGUUUUAUUCCACAAUGUAUUUGCCACUAGACACCAUCAGGCAAUAACAAAUGCAAAUCGUUUGUGAUACAAGGCUCAGUUUCAGUGCAGACCUUUGUCCAAGCUGGUCGAAGGCGGAAUGCAUUCAUGGCUGCUGUCUGGUACACAUGUAAGGUGCUUCAACUUCUGGAUAAUAAAGAAAUAUCUGGCUUCAUGUGUAGGUCGAUGGAGUGACCUAUAUUUGGCUUUAUGUAUAAAUUUGUGAAUGGCUUGAUUGUACAGAGUUGGAGUUGUGUAAAUAAUGGUCCUUAUUUCACACUGUGUAAAAAAUAGCAAAUAAAUUAAUACUGACCUUA
rnacentral:misc_RNA from 1 species